UUAGGAAUAUUCCACAAUGGGGGCAACCCUGAUGGAGCAACGCCGCGUGGAGGACGAAGGCCUUCGGGUCGUAAACUCCUUUUCUAUGCGAAGAAUAUGACGGUAACAUAGGAAUAAGGGUCUGCUAACUACGUGCCAGCAGCCGCGGUCAUACGUAGGACCCAAGCGUUAUCCGGAUUGACUGGGCGUAAAGAGUUGCGUAGGCGGUUUAUCAAGCGAGCAGUGAAAUCUUGUGGCUCAACCAUAAGGCUAUUGUUCGAACUGGUAGACUCGAGAAUGGAAGAGGUAUCUGGAAUUCCCAGUGUAGGAGUGAAAUCCGUAGAUAUUGGGAGGAACACCAAUGGCGUAGGCAGGAUACUGGUCCAUUUCUGACGCUAAGGCACGAAAGCGUGGGGAGCGAACGGG
rnacentral:rRNA from 1 species